UACGUAGGGUGCAAGCGUUAAUCGGAAUUACUGGGCGUAAAGCGUGCGCAGGCGGUUUUGUAAGUCUGUCGUGAAAGCCCCGGGCUCAACCUGGGAAUUGCGAUGGAGACUGCAAGGCUUGAAUCUGGCAGAGGGGGGUAGAAUUCCACGUGUAGCAGUGAAAUGCGUAGAGAUGUGGAGGAACACCGAUGGCGAAGGCAGCCCCCUGGGUCAAGAUUGACGCUCAUGCACGAAAGCUGGGGGAGCAAACCGG
rnacentral:rRNA from 1 species